AGUUGUGACAGCAAUCUGGCUGCAACAUCUGUCACCCCAUUGAUCACCAGGGUUGAUCUGGCUGAUCUUGGCUGGGUAGGUGGGUGUCCCCUUCUUCCUCCACCGCUUCAAGUGCAUCCCUCUGGAAGCUGCACCCUUGCUGGAAGAGGACUCACAGGUAGAAGAAGUGUACCAUUCUUUGGUCAAGGGUACACAAUAGCUGUGCUAGAACCUCCAUAGGUCACCAUCUGGCUUCCAAUAUUAAAAGUCAUGUAUAUAAAAUAGUCCUGCUUCAGUGU
rnacentral:snRNA from 1 species